rfam:Xenopus tropicalis strain Nigerian scaffold_1360_contig_12, whole genome shotgun sequence.
GCCUACGGCCAUACCACCCUGAAAGUGCCCGAUCUCGUCUGAUCUCGGAAGCUAAGCAGGGACGGGCUUGGUUAGUACCUGGAUGGGAGACCGCCUGGGAAUACCAGGUGUUGUAGGCU